rnacentral:rRNA from 1 species
UACGUAGGGUGCGAGCGUUUGUCCGGAAUUAUUGGGCGUAAAGAGCUCGUAGGCGGUCUGUCGCGUCGGCUGUGAAAACUCGAGGCUCAACCUCGAGACGCCGAUGGAAACCAUCUGGCUAGAGUCCGGAAGAGGAGAGUGGAAUUCCCGGUGUAGCGGUGAAAUGCGCAGAUAUCGGGAAGAACACCAGUGGCGAAGGCGCUACCUGGACCGGUUCUGACGCUGAGGCGCGAAAGCGUGGGU